rnacentral:rRNA from 1 species
UACGGAGGGUGCAAGCGUUAUCCGGAAUCACUGGGCGUAAAGGGCGCGUAGGCGGCCUGUUAAGUCCGAUGUUAAAGACUGGGGCUCAACCCCAGCAUUGCGUUGGAUACUGGCAGGCUUGACGGUUGGAGAGGCGAGUGGAAUUACCAGUGUAGCGGUGAAAUGCGUAGAUACUGGUAGGAACACCCAUUGCGAAGGCAGCUCGCUGGACAACACGUGACGCUGAGGCGCGAAAGUGUGGGGAGCAAACCGGAUUAGAUACCCGGGUA